ACCAGAAGCAGAGGCUGGCACCAUGUUUGUUAUGCAGCCUGCAGAACCGCUGGGGACAGCUCUCUGAAAAUAGGAAUAAAUAGUGGCUCCUCGAUAAACACCUUCUUGCCUACAGCAUGUGUGACUGCAAACACAUUCCCACUUCAACUAAUCCAAGACGAGAAGGAUGACAAAAUAAGAGAAAUCAUGGGAAAAACUGCCCAUUUCUGUUUUGUCCACUUUGCUUUGGGAAGUGAGAGCUAUAGUCAUUAUCACCACAUCCCCUGGCAUCCAAUUCCACAUUCUACCUCAGAAGUUAUUUGGAGGAAUCCAAGGACUUAGAUAUUUUACCAAUGUCUCUGGUGAUUUUUAUAUCGGUGGCCCAUGGGUGUUGACCUAUGAAACUGCUCUGCAGCAGAUAUUGAGAAAUAGGAGUUCAGGAUUAAUAAUUCAAUUCCAGCUUUCCUGGAAGCCAGAAGUCAAAAUAUACUUGGGAUUUCUAUAAAUAUUUUUUAAUUAUGACCAUCGAACUCCAAGUACUUCAGAUUUGGAACUCGGACUGCUUUCCUUGCUCCUCAGCCUGCAGAUGGCCUAUUGUGGGACCUUGUGAUUAUGUAGUGAGACGAGCAUGAGUGGAGCAGGAGACGGCUGUCCCCCACCCACAAGGAAUAUCAGAUGAUGGUUCAGCGAUCAUCACAUUGCCUCUCUGAAAGUGAUAAAUUGGCAGCUGGCACCAGGGAGAGGCUAUUUCCUGAUGGCCCACACCUGUUGCACUAAGAUGUUAAUCGAAUGCAGAUUCCAGGGAGAAACAACUUCCUGGGCAUGUGCGUAAGAGACAAAAUGGCAGGUAUGACCUUCUGGGGACACUCCACCAGAAAAGGGAAGAAAACCUCAGAUGGGCAUGCAUAUAACUUCCUAAACACACUGCUCACACUCUCCUCCCAAGGGUAAGGAGGGCACUGCACAUGCAGGCAGCCCAUCCUAAGGGAAGCAUCCUGGGAAAGGGGUCAGUCUAUAUGGUUCUGGGAUCAAGAUUAAACACCACAUUAGACCUUCAAGUUGCCCACUUGGGUCUCUUCUAUGUGUAUUUUUCUUUCCUUUCUUUUCUGCUCUAAAGCUUUUUUAAAUAAACAUACACAUCCCUCCUCUGAAA
rnacentral:lncRNA from 1 species